CUGAAAUGGUUUGCUUAGGACAAAGGCCCGAGUCUUACCAAGAAUCCAUGAACCGGGUCUUACAUGACUCUCUCAAGAAACUCCACGCACGCAAACUUAGAUUCGCUCUAACCAUUCACGAACAAAAUUCCUCGCCACCAUCACCCAAAACGAAACUCCAUGAAAGAAAUGAAAUGAAUCCAACAGGAACGCGAGUUCAUCUUCCCCAAAACUCCAAGCUAGUGAUCAUCGGGUGCUCUCCAAUUCAAACGAAGUAGGUCACGACGUAACAAAAUCAACGUGUUUCCAUGGAAAAAUCAAAUUCCAAAAUUGAAUCUGAUUCGAAGCUUAAUUCCUUUCGUCUUCGUGCAUGCAUAUGAUUAAAGGAUAUGAAAUUGAUACAAGCAAAGAGAACUUACCAAUUUGAGACUUCGACGCGAAGAUUUCAGGUUCUAAUUUUCCUCUUCGAUCAAUGCUUUAUGGCUUUGUUCGUGAUUUCACUGGUAUUCUUCAAAUCGUCACCUUAUUGAUAAUGAAGAGCGCGUAUUGGUGAAGAGUGUUGUGUUGAAGUGUGAAAGGCCAAUGGAUUCUUGCUCUGAAGAGUGAAGAGAAUCGCCUCCGAAGUUAUUUCGGUGAAUCCCAAUUGAUAAAGGGUGAAUGUUGGGUUCAACUGAACUUGGAUUAUGGCUUGGUGAUUGGACAAGCUAUGGACUUAAUGAUGUUGAUUUGUUACUAUUAGGAAGGUUGCUUAAGCAUAUGGAUUGGGAUAUAUUGAAUGGAUUGAAAUGGUAUUGUGUAAUGAUUAUUGUAGUCUUGUAACUUUGAUUUUUUUUUAUAUUGUUGUAAGAUGGUUGUAAAUGAAAAUGAACCUUGUGAAUUGUAAAUGGGUGUAUGCAAUUUUUAUGGUUAUGAUGGUAAUUGGGUGUAAUGGGAAAGGAAAACAUAUGCACUUGGGAUUGAAUUUGUAUUUGAAUGUAAUAUGGAAUUUGGAUUGAAUUUUCAUGAAAAUGACUUUGAA